ensembl:lncRNA
GUGGGUGACUGACUUUACUUCUUAACUGCUUUUGACGCUAUUUUUUUUCUGCUGUAUGGAUUAAGAUUCUUUUUCUUCCAGAGGCUAUCAGUGUGUCUCCUAACCCUUCAUGACUCUGAAUCAUUUCAUAAUGCUCAGCUUCCAGCGCUGCUUUGCCUCCUGACACCACAAGUACCCCCACAUUUCCUGUGACCGAUCAGUUUGCAAUGUUUUACCCCUUGUAGAGGAGCUCUCAUCAUGCUGCCAACUGCAGUUCUCACAGAAUAGCUCUGAAGAUUUCAAUAACACAGAAUAUCAUCUUUUUUUGCUUCCUAAUAGCUGAGUAUGGCCCUCUAACUGUUAGAAGCAGAGAAUGGCUUUUCCACUCCUGAGGUCUCAUUUCUUUUUGGCAUGUCAAGCAUAUGCUUCCAUAAAAUUGGAGGUGGAUGGUGUGCAUAAAGCUGCAACUCUAUGAAGUACCUCCCAUUGGCUGAACAAAGCCUAAAAUUUUCAGUCUCAUCAUUUCUCCAAAUUUGGAAUGGAUUUUUCAAGUGGACAGAAGAAGCAUCCCCUGACAAUGAGAGGAUGCCCUGCCAAAUUUCAAGCCUUUGCUCCAAAGCUUG